GGAUGUGAGGGCAAUCUGGCUGCGACAUCUGUCACCCCAUUGAUCGCCAGGGUUGAGUCGGCUGAUCUGGCUGGCUAGGCGGGUGUCCCCUUCCUCCCUCACUGCUCCAUGUGCAUCCCUCCUGAAGCUGCACACCAGUCGAAGAGGAAGACCAUCCCUGAGAGAGGAGGACCGGUCUUCGGUCAAGGGUAUACUAGUAGCUGCAGUCCCCUGCUAGAACCUCCAAACAAGCUCUCAAAAGAGGCACUACAGAGGUGGACAGAGUUGACCAACAGUUAACUAAAUAUUCUUGCAAACCUACUGUGUCCUUCUGCCUCAAGGUGCUUUCACAUGUA
ensembl:misc_RNA RN7SKP90 RN7SK pseudogene 90